CGGACGGGUGAGUAACGCGUGAGAAUCUGCCCUUAGGAGGGGGACAACAGUUGGAAACGACUGCUAAUACCCCAUAUGCCGAGAGGUGAAACAUUAAUGGCCUGAGGAGGAGCUCGCGUCUGAUUAGCUAGUUGGUGGGGUAACGGCCUACCAAGGCGACGAUCAGUAGCUGGUCUGAGAGGAUGAUCAGCCACACUGGGACUGAGACACGGCCCAGACUCCUACGGGAGGCAGCAGUGGGGAAUUUUCCGCAAUGGGCGAAAGCCUGACGGAGCAAGACCGCGUGAGGGAGGAAGGUCUGUGGAUUGUAAACCUCUUUUCUCAGGGAAGAAGAACUGACGGUACCUGAGGAAUCAGCAUCGGCUAACUCCGUGCCAGCAGCCGCGGUAAUACGGAGGAUGCAAGCGUUAUCCGGAAUUAUUGGGCGUAAAGCGUCCGCAGGCGGCCAAUUAAGUCUGCUGUUAAAGCCUGGGGCUUAACCCCAGAUCGGCAGUGGAAACUGGUUGGCUAGAGUACGGCAGGGGUAGAGGGAAUUCCCAGUGUAGCGGUGAAAUGCGUAGAUAUUGGGAAGAACACCAGUGGCGAAGGCGCUCUACUGGGCCGAAACUGACGCUGAGGGACGAAAGCUAGGGGAGCGAAAGGGAUUAGAUACCCCUGUAGUC
rnacentral:rRNA from 1 species